AUAGUACCACUAAUCAGGAGGUCUAGAAGGAGUCAUAGUACCACUAAUCAGGAGGUCUAGAAGGAGUCAUAGUACCACUAAUCAGGAGGUCUAGAAGGAGUCAUAGUACCACUAAUCAGGAGGUCUAGAAGGAGUCAUAGUUCCACUAAUCAGGAGGUCUAGAAGGAGUCAUAGUACCACUAAUCAGGAGGUCUAGAAGGAGUCAUAGUACCACUAAUCAGGAGGUCUAGAAGGAGUCAUAGUUCCACUAAUCAGGAGGUCUAGAAGGAGUCAUAGUUCCACUAAUCAGGAGGUCUAGAAGGAGUCAUAGUAGCACUAAUCAGGAGGUCUAGAAGGAGUCAUAGUUCCACUAAUCAGGAGGUCUAGAAGGAGUCAUAGUUCCACUAAUCAGGAGGUCUAAAAGGAGUCAUAGUAGCACUAAUCAGGAGGUCUAGAAGGAGUCAUAGUUCCACUAAUCAGGAGGUCUAGAAGGAGUCAUAGUAGCACUAAUCAGGAGGUCUAGAAGGAGUCAUAGUUCCACUAAUCAGGAGGUCUAGAAGGAGUCAUAG